rnacentral:lncRNA from 1 species
GCCUCGGUUGCCACAUCUCAGGAGGGGCCUCAGAGGCUGGUGCUCUGGGAGAGCAGGACUGUGCCAGCUCCAGGGGCUGCCAUCUGCCCUGCUCUCAGGACCUACUGAGGCAGAGCCCCAUGGACCUGAUGCCUGGCCCCGCCUGUUGUCCUCACUGUCACUUCUGGCCACUGGACUGUGCCUGCCCACCGAGCCCCCCUGAAAGGCCUGCCAGGUGAGCGUGGGGAAUGUGGGCACAGCAGCCCCUGGGGCCGGGCUGAAGCACAGCUCCUGUCUUCCUGGUAGGUGCUCAGACAGGGUCCCUGAGCAGGACAGGAGGCAGUGAGAGAAGGAUCUGUGGGUGUGGCUGGCAGACAGCAGAUGGCAGUGGGCCGACCUGGCUGGCCACCCUCCGGCGGCACUGGACACCCUGUCAGAGCAAGCACAGGUGCUGCAGAGGCGAGAACGCGAGCUGGGACUUGGCAGGGCCCAGUGUGAACUACUGGCUCUGAAGCAGAAAAUGAGGCUCCCGUCCUCUCUCCUUGACCUUCCUUGCUUGUCCGCAACCCCUGGGAGGUCCCUUGAGCUAGCAAAGUCCCCUUACCAGGCUGAACCACAUCUGGUGUCAUGUUCUCAGAAAGAAGGCUUGUCAGGGUCUGGGACACCCAAAGGAAACAGAGGGUAAUCAAGAUCCCAACAGGGCUGCUGUGCUGAACAGUGUCCUCUCUGUGAAUGGCACCCCUUGGAGGCGUGCAGGGCAUUGCGUCGUGUGACUGGGGGCACUGGAUGAAGGCAAAGGGCCCUGUGGGGCCCUGCCCCCCACCCCAGAGAGAGUUGGAGGGAGAUGGCUGGUUUUAGCUCAGUGGACAGAAGAGUUUCCUCAGAAGCCCAGUGGCCUCUGGUGAAAGUUGCACUCCCCAGGGAGAACGAGGGGGCUAUGCAAACUGAGACUUCUAGGGGAGCAUCCCUGCCCCAUGUGAGAGUGUGGACAGCGCCACUCUCACAGUGUGAUGGCCUAGAUACUUAAGCCUUUAGUGACCUGGGGAUCUCAGCCCACAGCUGACCCUCCUAGAGCCACUCCUCCCUACCAGGCCUCAGGGGACCCAGGGGACCCAGUUGACAGCCUGUCUCCUCAUGCCUGCCCACUUUCUGGCAUUCCAUGACAGCGUCCAAGGUCUUGUUGCUGGAGCUCCAAAGCCAUCAGCAGCUGGGGUGGAGAAGGGAAGUGUUUCAGGUCCAGCUGGGGGUGGAGGGUUGCACAUCUGGUGCCUGAGUGAUAAUAGCUGGGCAGCCUCUCAGAGCCGUGGGACACAGUCCCUUGUGUACAAGCCAGGGCACAGGUCCAUGCUGGGCCGUCAGCUGGGCCCCUGGCUGGGUUUAUCACAGCUGGUGGAGCAGGCAGGGCCCUGUGGAGUCAGCCUGCUUUAUCAGAGGCCGCAGACACUGCCAUGCCUUAAAGCGGGUGGAGAGUAGGCAGGGCCAGCCCUCUGCAGGGGCUCCAUGCUGCCUUCAGCCCUACCCACAGCAGGUGGAAUGCUCCCUGGCCCACCUGGAGCAGGAGAGGCACCAGCUGCGGGGAUCUCAGGGACAGGAGUGGAGGAGGCCAAGACAUAGAAGACAAGUGAGGGUGCCGGGAGAUGGGGAGGGGCAGAGUGACAGAGGACAGGCAGAUAGACCCUUCUGUCCCCAGGAUCCUGCUACUGUAGACAGAAGUGGAAAAGGCCCAGUGGUGUUUGGACUAGAUGAGCCGACAGCCCCUUGGCCCAGACCCCAGCCUGGGGCCCUCUGGGGUAGGAAUGACCCCAGAGCCCCCUCUAAGCGGGUGCAUGGCAGGGCCCUGACCACUGACCCUGCCGCACCUUUGGCCCUGUCCCAUACUGCAUUCUCUGGUCUUCACUCUUGGAGCAGUAGCUGGGGAAGGAGGCUACUGUGUCAGGUACUGUACAGAGGCUUCUGUUCAGCCAGAGAGGGACCCCCACCCACACAUGCACAUUUGAGAAGACCCUGAGAUCAUCUAGCUAACUCUCCUCCUAGUUCAGAUGGGAAAACAGAGCCCAGAGGGUAGGGAAGAGCUUCUACAGGGUCAUAACAGCAUGGUCUGGAGGCUGAGAGGAGAGCCCAAGAUCCUGGACUGAGUAUAUCUGCAGGAGAUGCUGGCGCCAGGCACGCAGGGCCAGGAGCAGAGCUCGGAUGGGGAUGGGGCCCAGGUACGUCAGGGCCCAGAUGGAGUCUCAAUGGGAGCAGCUGAGACCCUUACCUAGGCUCAGGACACAACCUUCCUGCAGGAGCGGUUGCUGAUGCUCACCCAGCACACUCCUGGUCUAGGAGGUACCAGUGUUCCUCAGGAAAGAGCUACAGGAGGAAGAAUCACAUCCCAGGCUUCACGAGAAGGUGGGUGAGUACUGGAAGGCACGCUGGCACCAGGUGGCAGUUGGCUGCAAUUUAAAGAGGAACUGCAGGGACUCCAGAGGCAGAAUGAGGCCUGGCCUCCCCCGGUGGGUGCUCUCUGUCCACCCCUUUCCUCUCCAUCCCCACAAUCUCCUCCAUUCUCUUCCCCACAGCCCUGUCUUUCCUACUGCAAGCCAAUUAGUCUCUUCCCCCUUCUUAGGAUGCCCCCUAGCUUUAUCCUACCCUUUCUUCCCUUCUACCUCUUCCUCAUUCUCCUCCAUCAGCCACUCAUUCACUCAUUCAGCAUGCAGUCACUGAGCAUCUGCUACAUGUCUGGCCUGUGCACAGGACAACCAAAGUCGUAUCAGACUGCUCUUCAUCCCCAAAAGCUUAUGGUUUGGGUCACACGGUCAUUGAGCAGGCAAUUACAAUUUAACAUGCCUGAUGAGGGUAGAGACACAUGGGAGCUGAGAGCAGGGGCAGCAGAGAGGAAAGUUCUCCCCAGAAAGGGUGUUUCUGAGCUUCUGAACCCUCACCGAAGGAGGAACAGGCAUCUUCCAGGAGUGAAGGAAUGAAGGGCAUCUCAGCAAAAGGGAGGAGCAUGUGCAAAGGCCCAGAGAGGAGAGACGUGGAGGUGGGGCUCUUGUAAAUAGUCCCUGACCCAGUAAGAAGUGGAGGGGGUGAGGGGUUACUUGAAAUGCGGGACAGGGGCCAGAGCAAGGGCUCUGGUAUCCCAUGUCCUGUCCACCAACUCCAACUCCAGCUUGGUGACUGCCUCCUCCUGGCCAGUGUCCUCCUUUAGUCUCCUGAGCAAAUGUAUGUGUGCACAGGCAGGCAGACAGACAGACAGACGGAUACCCCCCCCACAAAAUACCCAUCAGACACUCACCCAGAGACACAUGCCCAGGCUCCCAGAUGUGCACACCCGGAGACACAGAGAAACAGAUACAGACGCCAAGGAGGUGGCUGGGAGCCCCAGGGAUGUGGAGUUGUGAGGUCCUGUGGAGCUGCUCUGUGGACCUGGAGGGAAGGAGUGGGAGAGGAGGCCUCAGCAGCCGCACUUAGCUGGCCUCGGGCCUCAUGAAAGGUGGAGUUGGUCUGAACCAGGGGUCCAGAACUGUGCUCCGAGAGAGCUGUCAGUUCCUUAAGGAAGCAAAUUUGCAAUGAUAGUCUGCAACUGUACAUUUGUACGGAAAAAGAUCUUGGGUUUUUUUCUCUUUCUCAGCCCUGACCCCUGGGGCUUGGAGGUUGUCUUCUCAGGGCCUGGAGGGACUCUAUUCUUUAUGGGGUGUGCACGCCAGUCAGUUUGGGGGUCUGCAGUGGACUAUGUGCUGGGCCUUCAGAGCAAACUCAGGCUCUGGGAAGGAGGUGGCGCCAGGUGAGCCCUAAGCAAGAACAUGCAAAUGACCCAUAAACUAGUGCCAAUUUGGGCCCCAACUGCAGGGCCUUCUUUCAAGGGCCCUUGCCCCUCAGGGAUGUCAAGCCAUUUCCUCUCUCUCUCCAGUCCCCAGGGAGGCCUGCCUUCUGUGAGCAAGUGGGUGCCCCAGGCCCUGGGCUUGUCCAGGGUGACCUAGAAUUCAGCUCUGGGUCAUGAGCAGGGUCCUGCGGGGAGUGGCUGAUGGGCCAAACUUACAGCAGGGCAGAGGCUCUCAGGAGACACAGCAGCAGCUAGAUGCGGGCCAGACGCUGCAUCUACAUCUGGCUGGCAGGGGGUGGAAGGGGCUUCCACGGCCCCCAGCAGUCUUCAUCUUCAGUCCCAUCCUCAACCUCAAGCUCCUUCCACCCGGACCCCCUCUGGGUCUCUCCCUCAGUCUGUCUUCCUCUUCAAUCCUAGGAUUCUGUGGUCUUUACUGUCCCCAAAUUAGUAGUUAAGAUUGUGGGCUGAGGAGCCUAAAUACUCCUGGCUCCACGUUAUACUAGCUGUGUGACCUUACGCAGGUCACUCCACCUCUCUGGGCCUCAUCUGUAAAAAGAAACAAAAAGUGAGAACAAUAACAGUUCUCCUCCAUCAGCUGGCUGUGAGGGUUAAAUUCAACGAGCAUGUAAAAGGCUCAGUGCAGUGCUCAACACAUGGCAUGCAGGCAUAAAAUGUUAGCUGCCGCAGGCAUGGCCGCUUUGAGGCCAAAGUCCCCUUCUAAGUCAGGGUUCCUUUGGAUCCCAUUCACCCUCUGUGGUAGUUUGCUAGGGCUGCCAUAAUGAAGCACCACAAGGUGGGCGGCUUCAAUGACAGGAACUUCCUGUCUCACAGUCUGAAGGCUGGAAGUCUGAGAUGAAGCUGUUGGCAGGGCUGGUUCCUUCCGAGGAUUGUGGGGGAGACUCUGUUCCUGCCUCUCUUUGGCUUCUGGUGGUUGUCGGCAGUCUUUGACAUUCCUUGGCUUGUGGAUGUGUCACCCCCAUCUCUGCCUUCAUGUGCGCACAGCACUCUCCCUCUCUGCAGGUUCCUGUGUCCAGAUCUCCCUUUCUAAGACACCAGUUAGACUGGAUUAGGGCCCACUCUGAUGAGCCCAUUCGAACCUGAUUACUGAUUACCUCUGUCUCCAAAUAAAGUCACAGUCUGCGUUACUGGUGGUUAGAACAGAAACAUGUCUUUUUUUGGGGGGGGGGGUGGCACAGUUCAACCCAUAACAUCCUAAUUUGCUUCCUUCUACCUUCCUGUUGGGGGGGUUGGGUGUGACUUGGGAUCUCAGGGGCGCAGCUGUUCCUUGUCUCGUUUUUUGUUUUUGUGUUUUUUUGAGGAAGAUUAGCCCUGAGCUAACAUCUGCCGCCAAUCCUCCUCUGUUUUGCUGA